rnacentral:rRNA from 1 species
UACGUAGGGUGCGAGCGUUGUCCGGAAUUAUUGGGCGUAAAGAGCUCGUAGGCGGUUUGUCGCGUCGACUGUGAAAACCUACAGCUUAACUGUGGGCUUGCAGUCGAUACGGGCAGACUUGAGUUCGGUAGGGGAGAACGGAAUUCCCGGUGUAGCGGUGAAAUGCGCAGAUAUCGGGAGGAACACCGGUGGCGAAGGCGGGUCUCUGGGCCGAUAUUGACGCUGAGGAGCGAAAGCGUGGGGAGCGAACAGG